rnacentral:rRNA from 1 species
ACUCCUACGGGAGGCAGCAGUGGGGAAUAUUGGACAAUGGGCGCAAGCCUGAUCCAGCAAUGCCGCGUGUGUGAAGAAGGCCUUCGGGUUGUAAGGCACUUUUAUCAGGAGCGAAAUACUACCGGUUAAUACCCGGUGGGGCUGACGGUACCUGAGGAAUAAGCACCGGCUAACUACGUGCCAGCAGCCGCGGUAAU